rnacentral:rRNA from 1 species
GACGAACGCUGGCGGCGUGCCUAAUACAUGCAAGUUGAGCGAUGAAGAUUGGUGCUUGCACCAAUUUGCAGAGCAGCGAACGGGUGAGUAACGCGUGGGGAAUCUGCCUUUGAGCGGGGGACAACAUUUGGAAACGAAUGCUAAUACCGCAUAACAACUUUAAACAUAAGUUUUAAGUUUGAAAGAUGCAAUUGCAUCACUCAAAGAUGAUCCCGCGUUGUAUUAGCUAGUUGGUGAGGUAAAGGCUCACCAAGGCGAUGAUACAUAGCCGACCUGAGAGGGUGAUCGGCCACAGUGGGACUGAGACACGGCCCAAACUCCUACGGGAGGCAGCAGUAGGGAAUCUUCGGCAAUGGACGAAAGUCUGACCGAGCAACGCCGCGUGAGGGAAGAAGGUUUUCGGAUCGUAAAACUCUGUUGGUAGAGAAGAACGUUGGUGAGAGUGGAAAGCUCAUCAAGUGACGGUAACUACCCAGAAAGGGACGGCUAACUACGUG